UAGCAGAGGUCUUCAAGCGUUUGUUCGGAUUCAUUGGGCGUAAAGGGUGCGUAGGUGGCGCCGUAAGUCGGGUAGUGAAAUUUCGGGAGCUUAACUCCGAAACUGCAUUCGAUACUGCGGUGCUUGAGGACUGGAGAGGAGACUGGAAUUCAUGGUGAGCAGUGAAAUGCGUAGAGAUCAUGAGGAAGACCAGUGGCGAAGGCGGGUCUCUGGAC
rnacentral:rRNA from 1 species